UUUGAUGGUGAUAUAAACAGGAAAUGGUUGUUUGAUGGCGACGUGUUUGGUGAGUGCGCUAUUGCCGUCUUACGUUUGCAUUGUUUAUGUGUCUAGUAAAGUAUCGAUGAUGUUUGCAAUGUUUUAGUCAAAUUCGAUUCCCAAGUGUAUAAUUUCUUUAGCCAGGCAGUUUAUAUCCUAAUGUCCCAGUUAAAAAACAGUUUGAUCGACUUUAAUCAAAUCGGCUAGGACUGUCAAAUUGUCGGAACCGAGUACCCCUUUAAUGAUAGCUUUACUAUUCAACCUAAAUAUUGAUUACAUGACAUCAUGAGCAGUAUAAAAUAUUUUUCUUCAGAUCAGGCGUCUGGUGAAUUAUCCAUGUAAUAUUUAUACAUAAUUCAUAAAUUAUCAUUGAAUUGAUAAUCAUAUCAAGUAACAUGCUCCGUCAUUUUCUAACUGAAACAUUGCUCACAAGUUUUGACCGUUUCUGAAAUGUCCAAUAGCGUCUUGAGAACGAGUGAUAGAUUACUAUCUAACUGCUUUAGGCUGAGUCGAUGAGGGGGCGGUUGACUAGCCUACUGGUUAAGCGUUCGCUCGUCACGCUGAAGACCCGGGUUCGAUUCCCCACCUGGGUACAAUAUGUGAAGCCCAUCACGGUCCCCCGCCGUGAUAUUACUGGAAUAUUGCUAAAAGCAGCGUAAAAUCAUACUCACUCACUCACUCACCGAGUCGAUGAGGCUCAGGUACGAUGGUCACUGGUCGAGACACAAACA